AACGAACGCUGGCGGCAUGCCUAACACAUGCAAGUCGAACGAGACCUUCGGGUCUAGUGGCGCACGGGUGCGUAACGCGUGGGAGCCUGCCCUUAGGCUCGGAAUAACUCCCCGAAAGGGGUGCUAAUACCGGAUAAUGUCUUCGGACCAAAGAUUUAUCGCCUUUGGAUGGGCCCGCGUUGGAUUAGCUAGUUGGUAGGGUAAAAGCCUACCAAGGCGACGAUCCAUAGCUGGUCUGAGAGGAUGAUCAGCCACACUGGGACUGAGACACGGCCCAGACUCCUACGGGAGGCAGCAGUGGGGAAUAUUGGACAAUGGGCGAAAGCCUGAUCCAGCAAUGCCGCGUGAGUGAUGAAGGCCUUAGGGUUGUAAAGCUCUUUUACCCGGGAUGAUAAUGACAGUACCGGGAGAAUAAGCUCCGGCUAACUCCGUG
rnacentral:rRNA from 1 species